rnacentral:rRNA from 1 species
UGGAAACGACUGCUAAUACCGCAUAAUGUCUACGGACCAAAGGGGGCUUCGGCUCUCGCCUUUAGAUUGGCCCAAGUGGGAUUAGCUAGUUGGUGAGGUAAUGGCUCACCAAGGCGACGAUCCCUAGCUGGUUUGAGAGGAUGAUCAGCCACACUGGGACUGAGACACGGCCCAGACUCCUACGGGAGGCAGCAGUGGGGAAUAUUGCACAAUGGGCGCAAGCCUGAUGCAGCCAUGCCGCGUGUGUGAAGAAGGCCUUCGGGUUGUAAAGCACUUUCAGUCAGGAGGAAAGGUUAGUAGUUAAUACCUGCUAGCUGUGACGUUACUGACAGAAGAAGCACCGGCUAACUCCGUGCCAGCAGCCGCGGUAAUACGGAGGGUGCGAGCGUUAAUCGGAAUUACUGGGCGUAAAGCGUACGCAGGCGGUUUGUUAAGCGAGAUGUGAAAGCCCCGGGCUCAACCUGGGAACUGCAUUUCGAACUGGCAAACUAGAGUGUGAUAGAGGGUGGUAGAAUUUCAGGUGUAGCGGUGAAAUGCGUAGAGAUCUGAAGGAAUACCGAUGGCGAAGGCAGCCACCUGGGUCAACACUGACGCUCAUGUACGAAAGCGUGGGGAGCAAACGGGAUUAGAUACCCCGGUAGUCCACGCCGUAAACGAUGUCUACUAGAAGCUCGGAGCCUCGGUUCUGUUUUUCAAAGCUAACGCAUUAAGUAGACCGCCUGGGGAGUACGGCCGCAAGGUUAAAACUCAAAUGAAUUGACGGGGGCCCGCACAAGCGGUGGAGCAUGUGGUUUAAUUCGAUGCAACGCGAAGAACCUUACCUACACUUGACAUACAGAG